rnacentral:lncRNA from 1 species
UUACCUAACCACAAAAAUGCAGCAACGCGGCAGUUAGCCUAAUAACUAAAAAAAAUAAGGAAUCCUAUACCAUCAAAAACAAAGACUAGCAAAGCAAAAUCUCAUGUCCCUAUAAUUUUACCUUAACAAACUAUUACUUAAAUUUUUUUAGGAUUUACUAUGAUUUUUUUUUUUCUCCUUAUCGUAAUACCAUUUCUAAAAAUUGGCAUCCGCGCUAAAGUCUACUAAAUUUCAUGCUCACAUAUUAUUCAACUAGCCAUAAGCUAACACAAUGUUACAUAUUCUUGAACUACAUAAUUACCUACAUAUAUGACCAUUGAUUCUCUUAAUGAAG